GGCAGGCAGGCAGACAGAGUAGCUUGGAAUGAUCUUGCCCUUUGAAAUGUUCUCUCCAGAAGAGCACUUUAAUAUAAGUGCAAUAAUUAUCAUUUAAGUAUAACAUUUAAGUACCUUACUGUGAUUGGUUUCAAUGACAACAAGAAAAACAGACAAAAAUUGCUUCUUAGAAAACUGCAAUUUCUCAAGCAAUAAUUUUGCUAGGACUGUCUGAGAGGUCUGAGUUGGGAGGGGAGAACUAGAUGUUAAAGGGAGAGAGGUGGGAGGGGAGAACUAGAUGUUAUUGGGAGAGAGGUGGGAGGGGAGAACUAGAUGUUAAAGGGAGAGAGGUGGGAGGGAGAACUAGAUGUUAUUGGGAGAGAGGUGGGAGGGAGAACUAGAUGUUAUUGGGAGAGAGGUGGGAGGGGAGAACUAGAUGUUAUUGGGAGAGAGGUGGGAGGGGAGAACUAGAUGUUAUUGGGAGAGAGGUGUUGAACACUAGGACUGUCUGAGAGGUCUGAGUUGGGAGGGGAGAACUAGAUGUUAUUGGGAGAGAGGUGGGAGGGGAGAACUAGAUGUUAUUAGGAGAGAGGUGUUGAACACUAGGACUGUCUGAGGGGUCUGAGUUGGGAGGGGAGAACUAGAUGUUAUUGGGAGAGAGGUGGGAGGGAGAACUAGAUGUUAUUGGGAGAGAGGUGUUGAACACUAGGACUGUCUGAGGGGUCUGAGUUGGGAGGGGAGAACUAGAUGUUAUUGGGAGAGAGGUGGGAGGGAGAACUAGAUGUUAUUGGGAGAGAGGUGUUGAACACUAGGACUGUCUGAGGGGUCUGAGUUGGGAGGGGAGAACUAGAUGUUAUUGGGAGAGAGGUGGGAGGGGAGAACUAGAUGUUAUUGGGAGAGAGGUGGGAGGGGAGAACUAGAUGUUAUUGGGAGAGAGGUGGGAGGGGAGAACUAGAUGUUAUUGGGAGAGAGGUGGGAGGGGAGAACUAGAUGUUAUUGGGAGAGAGGUGGGAGGGGAGAACUAGAUGUUAUUGGGAGAGAGGUGGGAGGGGAGAACUAGAUGUUAUUGGGAGAGAGGUGGGAGGGGAGAACUAGAUGUUAUUGGGAGAGAGGUGGGAGGGAGAACUAGAUGUUAUUAGGAGAGAGGUGGGAGGGGAGAACUAGAUGUUAUUGGGAGAGAGGUGUUGAACAUUAGGACUGUCUGAGGGGUCUGAGUUGGGAGGGGAGAACUAGAUGUUAUUGGGAGAGAGGUGUUGAACAUUAGGACUGUCUGAGGGGUCUGAGUUGGGAGGGGAGAACUAGAUGUUAUUGGGAGAGAGUUGGGAGGGAGAACUAGAUGUUAUUGGGAGAGAGGUGGGAGGGGAGAACUAGAUGUUAUUGGGAGAGAGGUGGGAGGGGAGAACUAGAUGUUAUUGGGAGAGAGGUGUUGAACACUAGGACUGUCUGAGGGGUCUGAGUUGGGAGGGGAGAACUAGAUGUUAUUGGGAGAGAGGUGGGAGGGGAGAACUAGAUGUUAUUGGGAGAGAGGUGUUGAACACUAGGACUGUCUGAGGGGUCUGAGUUGGGAGGGGAGAACUAGAUGUUAUUGGGAGAGAGGUGGGAGGGGAGAACUAGAUGUUAUUGGGAGAGAGGUGGGAGGGGAGAACUAGAUGUUAUUGGGAGAGAGGUGGGAGGGAGAACUAGAUGUUAUUGGGAGAGAGUUGGGAGGGAGAACUAGAUGUUAUUGGGAGAGAGGUGGGAGGGAGAACUAGAUGUUAUUGGGAGAGAGGUGGGAGGGGAGAACUAGAUGUUAUUGGGAGAGAGGUGUUGAACACUAGGACUGUCUGAGGGGUCUGAGUUGGGAGGGGAGAACUAGAUGUUAUUGGGAGAGAGGUGGGAGGGGAGAACUAGAUGUUAUUGGGAGAGAGGUGGGAGGGGAGAACUAGAUGUUAUUGGGAGAGAGGUGUUGAACACUAGGACUGUCUGAGGGGUCUGAGUUGGGAGGGGAGAACUAGAUGUUAAAGGGAGAGAGGUUUGGAACACUUUUUUCAUAUUGGUCUCGUAACUAAUAGGUGAUGACACCAGGCCAAAACUCCACCCCACCAAAACAGGAUGAGAUUUCAGGCAGUCUUUUCAAACAGCUCUUAUACUAAAAGGACAUGAUUAUGAUUUUCCCAAUUACACAGUGUUAUUCCAA